rnacentral:rRNA from 1 species
GAUCCUGGCUCAGGAUGAACGCUGGCGGCGUGCUUAACACAUGCAAGUCGAACGAAACACCUUAUUUGAUUUUCUUCGGAACUGAAGAUUUGGUGAUUGAGUGGCGGACGGGUGAGUAACGCGUGGGUAACCUGCCCUGUACAGGGGGAUAACAGUCAGAAAUGACUGCUAAUGCCGCAUAAGCGCACAGGGCCGCAUGGCCCGGUGUGAAAACUCCGGUGGUAUGAGAUGGACUCGCG